rnacentral:tRNA from 1 species
GCGCCCGUAGUCUAGGGGAAGGACGCCGGCCUGCCAAGCCGGAGGUCCCGGGUUCGAAUCCCGGCGGGCGCA